GGCUCACCUAGGCGACGAUCCCUAGCUGGUCUGAGAGGAUGACCAGCCACACUGGAACUGAGACACGGUCCAGACUCCUACGGGAGGCAGCAGUGGGGAAUAUUGCACAAUGGGCGCAAGCCUGAUGCAGCCAUGCCGCGUGUGUGAAGAAGGCCUUCGGGUUGUAAAGCACUUUCAGCGGGGAGGAAGGCGAUAAGGUUAAUAACCUUGUCGAUUGACGUUACCCGCAGAAGAAGCACCGGCUAACUCCGUGCCAGCAGCCGCGGUAAUACGGAGGGUGCAAGCGUUAAUCGGAAUUACUGGGCGUAAAGCGCACGCAGGCGGUCUGUCAAGU
rnacentral:rRNA from 1 species